rnacentral:rRNA from 1 species
CCUACGGGACGCAGCAGUGAGGAAUAUUGGUCAAUGGGCGCAAGCCUGAACCAGCCAAGUCGCGUGAGGGAAGACGGUCCUAUGGAUUGUAAACCUCUUUUGUCGGGGAGCAAAGCGCGGUACGAGUGCCGUGAAGGAGAGUACCCGAAGAAAAAGCAUCGGCUAACUCCGUGCCAGCAGCCGCGGUAAUACGGAGGAUGCGAGCGUUAUCCGGAUUUAUUGGGUUUAAAGGGUGCGUAGGCGGACUGUUAAGUCAGCGGUAAAAGCCCGGGGCUCAACCCCGGCGAGCCGUUGAAACUGGCUGU